rnacentral:lncRNA from 13 species
AUAAAACUUAAGGGGAAACUAAACCUGCUCAGAGGAUUUCAACAUACAGCCAAACAAUCCAAAGUGAUUUCUGUAUUUUUAAAUCCAGCCCAAGAGUGGAUCAGCAGAUUGGCAGGAAGGGUGCAGGACCUAACCCAAUGACAAUGCUCGCAGGAGGAGCCCUUCAGAAGUCACCAGCCCCACAGGCCUCCUCACUCAGAAGUCUUUGAAGGAUGUUUGCCAAGUACAGGAUGUGUGCUUCUUCCUAC